AUUGAACGCUGGCGGCAGGCCUAACACAUGCAAGUCGAGCGGAGCGGCGGACGGGUGAGUAAUGCCUAGGAAUCUGCCUGGUAGUGGUGGAUAACGUCCGGAAACGGGCGCUAAUACCGCAUACUAUCAGAUGAGCCUACGUCGUAUUAGCUAGUUGGUGGGGUAACGGCCUACAAAGGCGACGAUCCGUAACUGGUCUGAGAGGUUGAUCAGUCACACUGGAACUGAGACACGGUCCAGACUCCUACGUGAGGCAGCAGUGGGGAAUAUUGGACAAUGGGCGAAAGCCUGAUCCAGCCAAGCCGCGGGUAUGAAGAAGGUCUUCGGAUUGUAAAGCACUUUAAGUUGGGAGGCGUUACCAACAGAAUAAGCACCGGCUAACUUCGUGCCAGCAGCCGCGGUAAUAC
rnacentral:rRNA from 1 species